rnacentral:lncRNA from 1 species
CUCUUCUCUCUCUCUACUCUUCAUUCUCCUUUCCUCUCUUCCUCCUCACGUACACUCUCUGUAGCAUAUCAAUACCCCCAUUCGCAAGAUUCAGCUUGUCCUCAAGUGAAAAUCCUGGAAACUGAUUCUUCAACUCGCCAACCUUCAUCCAAGACGUCUCAUGGUCCGGUAAAUUCCUCCAUUUCAGCAACACCUCCAAAUGGC